rnacentral:rRNA from 1 species
AUUGAACGCUGGCGGCAUGCCUUACACAUGCAAGUCGAACGGCAGCACGGGAGCAAUCCUGGUGGCGAGUGGCGAACGGGUGAGUAAUAUAUCGGAACGUGCCCAGUCGUGGGGGAUAACGCAGCGAAAGCUGUGCUAAUACCGCAUACGAUCUACGGAUGAAAGCGGGGGAUCGCAAGACAUCGCGCGAUUGGAGCGGCCGAUAUCAGAUUAGCUAGUUGGUGGGGUAAAGGCCUACCAAGGCGACGAUCUGUAGCUGGUCUGAGAGGACGACCAGCUACACUGGAACUGAGACACGGUCCAGACUCCUACGGGAGGCAGCAGUGGGGAAUUUUGGACAAUGGGCGCAAGCCUGAUCCAGCAAUGCCGCGUGCAGGAUGAAGGCCUUCGGGUUGUAAACUGCUUUUGUACGGAGCGAAACGGUGAACUCUAAUACAGUUUGCUAAUGACGGUACCGUAAGAAUAAGCACCGGCUAACUACGUGCCAGCCGCCGCCGUAA